rnacentral:lncRNA from 1 species
GUCUGCAGUCAUCUCGAGGCAUCAUGCUUCGCUGUCUCUUUUAUUAGUAAAGGUAUAUAAAAGAUGAGCAAAUUCUCGUGUGAAAUAGGGUAGUCAGCUAACUGACAAACUUUGUCUAAUCACACCCACCACUUGAAGUUACUUUCGGAGCUCCCAUUACAAGUUACUUUCACAGAGAUCCUUCAGAAUUCGACUGACGGCUAAUAUAUUCAUACUUUUCCCACAAUUUCCGCAACGUCGUUUUCUCGUGUCCAGACUCGCUUCAUUCGGAGCUCUUCAGCCUUCACAUGAAUGGGCACCGUGACACCCGUUGUAAAUUAGGAAUCAGAAACCAAGUCUUCAAAAAGAACAGUAGAAUUUUCAACCCUAAUUAAAGUGGACAGAAGCUCAGUUUGUCUGGCUAUUCAAUAACCAUUUGAAAGGCUAAAAACUUCGGCAGACAAACCUUUUGCGUGUUGCAAAAAAAAGGCUGAAAACUUCAAAGGAAGAAUAGAUGUGUAUAUACUACUUCAAACAUCAAAACUAUCCUCUCUGAAUGACCAAAGAUGAGAAGUAAAAAAUGCAAGGUACCAUUCUCGCAGAUUGUCAUUUUCAAAUCAAUACAGUAAUCCAUUCAGCUAUUUACCAAUCCCAAUAAUCCUUUUCACAAAAAAAUAUCAUUACAGGAACACAGCUCGAAAUGUGAAACAUAAAUAUUACAGGUUCGUUAAAUAGAUGGACACACACAAAAAGUACCACCAAAUAAAAUCUACCCUGAUGCAAGCCAGCCUACAUCAUCAUGCAUACCAGUGACAUCAUAUUACCCUACCAUUGAUAGUGACUGAAGAGACCCAGGGGGAAGGGGUCAAUAAGUAAUAAAUGACAAUGGUAUACUUCAAACCACUUCAAAUCAAGCAAAUUAUUUGACUUUAAAGUUCUCCGCAAAGUGGGCAUAAUAGAGGCACAUUAAAAUGAAGGGGAUAUGACAGAAUACUUACAGAGUUGCCCCUGGGUAUCCCUGAAAGGCACUCGCACAUCAAAUGGCUCCAAGAGUAUAGCUUAAAGUUUUUACAAGGAGCCAGUAUGAACAGGACAGCUGCCAGCAAGAAUCAGAGAAGAUGCAAUCUAAAGGUCAGAUCAUGCUAAUAAACUAUUGCAUGAUGUAAUACUAUAUUAGGAAUUGCCAGACAUAGACGGAACUUCACGAUAAAAGCACCUGAUAUAGUAUAGAUAGCAAUAAGAUGUUGUGGUUGUUGUUCAUGUAUGCUAAUGCCGACUUAUCAUGCUUUUACCAAAUGUUGUGUCAAAACAAAAAAAAGGACGGUUGCCACCCACCAUCCAGAAGAGGAAAAUAUUUAGCAGUAUUUAUGGCAUCCACAUUUAGAGACUUCUGAUGUACAAUUAGCGUGCCAUUUCUUGGAAUAUCAAUUCAGGGUAUAUGUGAAUCUUUUUUGAGAAAGUGUAUAUGUGAAUGUUACUUCUUCUCUUCUAUAUAAUGGAAAAAAGACUUAACUCCACUUCAUAAUACAUGACUUGCUAAAACAAUUGAGAUUGGUCAAAUGAAAGUAAUACUGCCACAUUUUUUCAUGAAAAAUAUUUCACAAAUUUAUAAUUAUUUAACUUUUAAAUUAAUAACAUGUUCAUAUGAAAAUAACAUUAAAAUUUGCACCCAGGCCAUUUGUAUAACUGCAUGCAUAUUUUAGGACGGGUCACAAGGAACGGCAGGAGUAUUUUCCAAACAAAAAUUAGCACGAAGAUCAAACCACAGAAUAUGCAAGUAAAGUAUAUAGCCAAAUGAGAAAUAACGCAUGAACCAAUGGAAGCAGACUAGAUAAGAAGAUCUCACUAAAGUCCCUACGGUGCACCAAGACCAGGUUCAUGGAUGAGUCUUCAACUAGUGCUGAUGGACGCAUGAUGGAGAUUCUAAUCCAAGGGAAACAACAAUUAGAAAGAAAGCAACCAGAUCAGACCACCACAAAUUAAACCGUAUUUUAUUACCAUCACACGCAGCCACCUUUUCCCAUGUCAAUAAUACACCUCGUCUCUCCUGCCUGCCUUUUGAGCACAUAAACCCACCGCCCUCACCAUCAUCAUGCCUAACCAAGUUUAGGCCCUAACCAAAGCAUCCUCCCGUCCCCUCUCACAGGAGAGCCCCGAAGCUAGAGGAGGAAGGAUACCGCCAUGGGGAGAGCUCCGUGCUGCGACAAGGCGAGCGUGAAGAAGGGCCCAUGGUCGCCGGAGGAGGACGCCACGCUCAAGUCCUACAUCGAGCAGAACGGCACCGGCGGCAACUGGAUCGCGCUGCCGCAGAAGAUUGGUAUGUGCUCAUCAGAAUUGCCGAGUAUGAUGUACUGAUGCUGCCAGUAAGGAGUAGUGAUAAUAGAUAGAAGCUAAUUAGGUGUGCGUUCUUGUGUCUCUGGGGCAUCCGCAGGCCUGAGGAGGUGUGGAAAGAGCUGCCGCCUCCGGUGGCUCAAUUACCUCCGGCCGAACAUAAGGCACGGUGGAUUCUCAGAUGAGGAGGAUAGGAUCAUCCUCAGCCUCUACAUCAGCAUAGGCAGCAGGUACUGGGACAGUUGGUCUCGCCCGUCUUGUCAAUUGUAUGAUCAACUCUUGUAUGAUCAACUCAAGUAUAGGAUUAGCUGCAAACUGGUAGGCAGGCACAUGGGUGUAGUACAAUCUAUUACCUAUUACCUAUUAUCUAUGAUCUAAGUUCUAAACGUAUCAUGCAUGCCUUUGGUUGGGCGUAGGUGGUCGAUAAUAGCAGCACAGCUGCCGGGGAGGACGGACAAUGACAUCAAGAACUACUGGAACACGAGGCUCAAGAAGAAGCUCUUCGGCAAACAGUCGCGCAAGGACCAGAGGCAGCACCAGUUCGGACGCCAGGGAGCGAAUGGCGGGCAUAAGGAAGAAGCCAGCGAGGGCUCAGCCGGGAACAAUGGAGUUGCUGCUGGUGCUUACAAUUGGCACCAGCACACAAUGGCCAUGCCGCCCCAUCCGAUGCCGGGUUCAAUGGUGGAAGGCAAUCUUAUCGGAGAAGGGGUGGAUGAGUCCAUCCGGAAGCUUCUGUUUAAGCUAGGAGGAAGCUCUUUUGCCGCCCUGCCAGCCCCGCCGUGCCUUCCUCCACCAAUGUACGGGGAAGCUCCAAACUUCGUGGCGCCAUCGGUGCACACGGCCCCUCUAAACGAAGGUGGCAUCCACUGUUCUAGUGUGCUGCCUGCACUGGAGCUGGACGAGAGCUUCCAAUUCAACCAGGUCAAGCUGGACGGGCUGGAAUGCUUCUUCGGCAUGGGGGACCAGAGCAUGAGGUGGAAUGAAGUGAGCCCCUUGGUCUGCCCUAACACUACUGUUGCGUCCAGCUCCCAAGGGAUGCAGCAGUACUGCCUCCUAGAGGAGCCGGUCGACCUUGGGCUGCAGUAGAGAACUAGCUAUUGGUGUUUGUUCUCAUGUACAUGCAUGAUUGUGGAUUUUGUGGUGUAAAUUUGUAGCAUUCAUGGGGAAUGGUGAAAGAUGAUGAGAGCUCUGAAUUAAGAACAAUAAUGUCUCUCACCACUCCUAGAUGAGAGAUGUCUUGUUUUCAGGUAUCUCUAUGUGAGUCUUGUAUUGAAAUGUUUUUUUUCCCACUACCAGGGUUACUGCCUUACAGAAACACUUACCGUUUUAGAUUGUACUGGUUGUUAUGUUAGUUUAUCUGGCCUAUGUGUGAUAUUUGUACCGAGUACCAACCCUAGCGGCUAGAUACUUUUUUGUGUGUUCUCUAACAGCAUAGACAAAGUUUACUUGCAGCAUGUGCAAGGUCUGCCUAAUUUUGGUCAAAAAGACAUGGUUAUACUUCAUGAGACAUUCAUGGACUUAAUAAAGCAUGUCUAUAAAGUAUCAAAAUCGUCGUUACGAAGUUAGAGAAACUAAGUAUAAAGUGUUAACAUACGUAAUUUUACACGUCUUUUGGGAGCGUGACACACAUAGUCAGAAAAUGAAUUUGCAAUUUUUUGACAGAAAUUCAUCUACUUGAAUUCAAAUCAAUGUUCCAACGAUUUUGGCAAAAAUGGAUUUUACUAUAAGUUAGUGAAAGGACAUCUCUGAUGACAUGAAACACGAGAUUAAUACUUAGUUUGUGUAAGUUGCUCACAUUGUGGCAGUCUUAUCAUAUAGACAAAAUAAAUUCGAAUUUUAUUACUGUGGAAUGAUGGAAUGGACACUUUGUUUAUCCAGUCAUCAUAUGUAAUUAUCAAAAGUUUGCUUCUACUUCACCUGUUUGAUUGCAUAUGUUGCGUUUCCAGUGUUCAUACUUGAAAUGGGAUACUGGGUACUAUUUCUCAUUAGCCAAUGGGACACAGCACUAAACUCCUUCCACGGAAAAACUGAAGUCAUUGCUUGACUUUUGUUAAAAAAAUGAUUAGUUGUCAACAUGUCACAACAGAUAAAGAACAUGUAUCCAGGUAUAGUAGCUAAACCAUAAACCAGUAUUCUCUACAACUAAAUAAAAUGUCCGCUCAAAGAACUAGUGUCUGAAGGUGAAAAACGAAAUGACUUAACGAUCAUUGACAGUUUGACACCAAAUAUUGUUCUAGAGAGAACGGUUUUGCAUGUGUGCAUUGCUUUUCCAUGCAAGUUAAUGUUGGCAUGAAGAAAGUAAUCAACAUGCUGUUUGAAGAGUUAAUAACAUGUAAAGGAAGACUCGGGAUACAUCGAAGUUUUGUGAUUACUCUGAUAGUUGGAGUGAUUGAAAUGAUAGUGCUGAUUAAGUUUGUGAAGUAAAAUUUGAAAUUAUAAUUCUAAAGAAGACAUGAAAUCAGCAAUAUUAAAAUCUGACAAAUAUAUGUUUGAUUUGCGGAGUCAGCAAUUUCUAAUAUAGUAGUUUCAGCUAGUCAUGUGUGAAUCUUGGAAUCCUCAAUGCAUUCUUGCACGAUGAGCAAUCCAACAGGCAGCGGCUCCCCAGCUUUGGUUCUAUUUCUGAUAACUAAAGUAGUUACACACACCAGUUAAAUGAAUGGAUUUAUUUUCCUUGGAAUUAAUCAGAGAGUUCAAGGUUUGUUGACUAUUAUAAAUGGCUAGGUAUGUUGCUUGUUUGCAAAUAGGAGUUCAAAGUUCAAGCAAAACAAGAUGGAGUGUGCAUUAUGAUUAGGAUCAUCAGAGACGACCAAGUCCAUUAUUAGUUAGAAAAAAGAAAACUACAGUAGAGGUUAAAGAGCGUGUCUGAGAAGAGUCAAAGAGAUUAAGUCGCAGUCCAAAGACAUAGGGAGCUUGAGAAUAUAGCUAACCUCUACCAAGAAGUCAAUGUUGCUUUGGUAACCUAACCUCUGCAUAGGUGAGGUAUAGGCACGUUUUAAAGUGGUGGCUUGAUGGGACAAAGGUUGCCUCAGCUGUUAGUACCAGUUGGUGGUGUGACAAGAAACUACAUUGAAUUGAAUUUAUGAUUCCGAUCAAUCAAAUAAAAGAAAACAGUUUGGUACUUCUUAUAGUUUUCCAAUUCAGUCGUUUCGCCGUGUCGACAUACAUCACCUAUACACCCAGUACUGGAUAUUCAUUUUCCACCAUAUUCCAUACAGAAACGAUCUUAGGAGACAAUAUUUAAACUGACUACACUCACCUUGAGGCCAGCUUCUCAAGUCUCAAUGGUGACCAAUGAUUAGUACUCCCUCUAUAAACUAAUAUAAGAGUGUUUAGAUAACUAAAAUAGUGAUCUAAACGUUCUUAUAUUAGUUUACGGAGGGAGUAACUGUUAACUUGAUGUUUAGUACGGCCACACCUGCUGUAACAGUUCAGUCUCAGACUGUGAUACUCAGAACCUAAGCCCUCAACCCCUGCACAGAUGGAGCAUUGAUUUGCCUUUCAUUUUGAACAAUAACCAAUUGAUACCAGAUUAUGUAACAAGAAACCUAAAAAACAUAUUCUUCUCGACGGUAAGUAGUUUUACUUCAUUCCAUGGCCUUCUUAGACAUCAUAAAUUGCAGUAGAAUUUUCAACCAGGCUACUUACAACAUUUACUUUGUCAAAAAAGAAUUGAUCAAUGUAUCGUAUAAGAUAUGCACUGAAGCUGUGGACAAGAAAUCCUUGUGUACUACGUAAGCAGUGACAUUGCAGGAAGACCAUGGACACAUUGACUUGACUGAUCAUCUUCUGUAGAGUUGGAAAUUAUAAGGUAGAGAAUCUCUACCUUCCCAUUUCAAGAGAGUCGGGAAGUAAGCACUAACACAGGACAUAAUGAACAUAUGUAAAUGCUAGACAACAGUUUAUUGAGGAAACGUAAUGAUAAAAGGCGCCUAGUGAACACAAAAUGUCAUCUUGUUUUUUUGAAUGAAAGGGGUCGCCCCCCCCCCCCCCCCCCCCCCCCCCCCNNNNNNNNNNAGGGGGCGCCCCCCCCCCCCCCCUGCCCCAUUUUAUUAAACAAAGCAGAACAAACCACAUCACAGCCCAAGAUAAAAUGUCAUCUUGUCUAACAGGAAACGUUUAAAUGAGAGAAUUGGUUAGGUUAAUGCCAUUACAGUGGCAUUUCUUAAACAUUGAGUAACAAUAUGGUUAAAUGUGAGACUCUGAGAGGAUGCUUCUUCAGUCAAAGAGGGUUAGUCUUGGAGUUAGCAUCAAUUUGCCAGUAAAUCAUGGGUUGAUACAAGUCCAAACACCAAUUAUUUCGGUAAUGUCAAGGCUUCUUCCCUCAUGUAGGUCCUUACGCAGUUAUACUCAAGCUAAGCCUUUCAACACAAGUGGCCUAGAUUUAUAAGAGUUAACAUAAUUUAUUCUUUGCCAUUCCAAAGUUACCAGUUGCAUACGUACCCUUUAAUUUAUCGUUACUCUAACAAACACUCUUAUAAAGAUCUGAAUUGGUGGUGGUCCGUUCACCUUACCUCUUAAGUUACUAAUUACCAAAAUCGUCAUCCCUUGUGAGGAGAACAUACGCUUGAUUUAAUUUAAUACAUAUUUUGAGAUAAUCUAUUUAGUUUGCCGAAAAUUAGGGCCUAUGAUGGCACACGCAUUUAAAUAACUGAUGCAAUAUAAAAAUAACUUGCGUGUUUGCUAUGUAGGGAUUAAACCCAACGUCCGGGUCGUACUGGUAUACGUUUUCGAGUAGGUUUGCUGGUAGGCUCUUUUAUACCUAUAUAUAUACUUGUAUCCCUAUCCUUUGUAACAUCAGAUCGAAAAGCAAGAAAUAUACCACAGGACCGAUACGGUCUUGUAGCCAUCAAAUCGCCUACUGUUAUUCUCGUGCAAUAGCUAGCUAGAUCGAUUCCAGCGAAUACAUCCACCUGCUAGCUUGCUUGCUAGUUGAUACGUACGUGAGUUGGCCAAAAGCAUCCGCUACUCAAAACGCAUCAAGAGCAAGGUGUAUACGUGCCCGAUCACGACGGAAAGCAUUGAUCGGCGAGCGACGUACGACGUACUAGCAGGGAUCUGGGCCAACAAUUGGUAUCAGAGCCUCGACGAUCUACGAUCUACGAUGACGGACAGCGACGCUGAGUCGGUCAAGUCCGGCAAAGGCGGUCCCAAGGCGAACAAGAACGGCGACGAGGUGAAGAAGGACGGCAAGUCAGCAACCAGUGGUGGAGGAACGGGCGGCGCCAACGUCCAAGCGCAUCGCAACAUCCCCAUCCAGUAUCCGAUGCUCACCGACGUCAACUACGGCGUGUGGGCGGUGAAGAUGAAGAUUAUUCUCCGAUCUCUUCGAGUGUGGGAGGCCAUCACGGACGACGGCGUCGAUGAGGAGCGCGAUGAAGGUGCCAUGGCCGCCAUAGCCCAGUCUGUGUCGGAUUCCGUGCUGAUGACAUUGGCGGAGUUCGAGACAGCAAGAGAGGCAUGGAACGCACUCAAGGAGAUGAGGAUCGAAGAAGAUCGCGUCACCAAGGCUCGGGCACAAGUGCUGAAGCGCCAAUUUCACAAGUUGCAGAUGGAGGAAACUGAAUCGGUGAACGACUACGCCAUGCGUCUUACUACUCUGGUGGGAGAGAUCCGCGCGCUUGGUUCAAAGCUCGAGGAGACCGAGAUCGUGGAGAAGUUUUUCAGUUCAGUGACUGAUAAAUUCACGUACAUCAUCGGCACGCUCGAGCAGCUUUACGACAUCGACGACAUGACCAUAACGGAGGCGAUCGGACGCUUGCGGACAUGGGAAGAGAAUGCUCGUGGUUGUCGGAAAGGCAAAGGAGGAGGUAAUGACCAACUCAUGUACUCGCUCGCAGAUUGGGACGCCCCAAGUAGCAAAGGAAGGCGUGACGGUGGCGAAGGCUCAAGAAACACGAAGGGCGAUGGACAAACCGGAAAAGGCAAACCACAAGGUCGUGGUAAGGCGGGCCAAUCUAAAGAGCAGAAGCCACGGAACUUGAACUUGUCCGAGGUCAAGUGCUAUAACUGCAAUAAGAUGGAUCACUUUGCGAAGGAUUGUCCAAAGCCUAACAAGCGGGAGAUCAAGGCAAAUUUGGCAAAGCAGGAAGGCAAAGGUCCAGGUCUUCUGAUGGCCGAAGUUUGUGAUCUCGCUGAAACGGUGGUUGUGAAACCAAGUCCGAAGGUGCUACUUCAUGAGAAGAAAGUGACACCAAAGUUAUCCGGUGAUCAGAACGUGUCGUGGUAUCUCGACACGGGUGCCAGUAACCACAUGACGGGGUGCAAGGAGAAAUUCCUCGAGUUGGAAUACGAUGUUGAAGGUUCGGUCAAGUUCGGUGAUGGUUCAGCUGUGGAGAUUUGCGGGCAAGGAUCUAUCCUCUUCGAGGGUCUCACAGGAGAACAUCGCAUACUCACCGGAGUGUACUACAUCCCACGGCUGCGCAACAACAUCAUCUCUAUUGGGAAGCUUGACGAGAAUGGAUGCAAGGUGAAUAUCGAGAACGGAGUGAUGACGAUCUUCGACAACCUCCGAAACGUGCUAGCUCGUGUUAAUCGCACACGGAAUAGGCCCUAUAUCCUCAACCUUGAUCAAUCUCAACCGGAGUGUUGGCUUGCCAAGAGUGAUGAUGAUUCGUGGUUAUGGCGUGCUAGAUUUGGACACGUUAACUUCUACGCCUUGAAGAAGAUGUCAAAGAUGGAGAUGGUAUCCGGGAUGCCAGUUAUCGACCAUGUUGAUCGAGUAUGUGACGGGUGCUUGGUUGGAAAACAGCACCGCAGGCCGUUCCCUGCUCAGUCUACCUAUCGUGCAAGUGAUGCACUCGAGCUGCUCCAUGGUGAUCUAUGUGACCCUAUCACCCCGACAACUCACGCGGGAAAGAAGUAUUUCUUCCUUGUGGUAGACGACUACUCGAGAUAUAUGUGGGUCAUUCUCCUACGAUCUAAAGAUGAGGCGUUUGAAGCGUUCAAGAAGCUGAAGGCUGCAACGGAGAUGGAACACAAGUUGAAGGUUCGCGCUCUGCGGACAUAUCGCGGCGAAGAGUUUACAUCAAAUGAGUUCAACGACUACUGCGAGAAGAUUGGCAUAAAAAGGUUCCUCACGGCACCUUACACGUCGCAGCAGAACGGGGUCGUUGAAAGGCGCAAUCGAACCGUCGUUGACAUGGCAAGGAGUUUACUCAAGAGCAAGAACCUACCGGGGACUUUUUAGGGAGAAGCUGUCUCGACGGCGGUCUAUCUUCUCAACCGGGCUCCAACGAAGGCGGUGAUCGGCAAGACUCCGUAUGAAGCAAUUUACGGACGUAAGCCGAAUGUGUCUCAUCUACGGACAUUCGGGUGCGUGGCACAUGUGAAGAUGGCGGAGCCGCACCUCUCAAAGCUUGCCGAUCAUAGCACCAAGAUGGUGUUCAUCGGAUACGAGAGGAGUUCCGGCACCAAGGCAUACCGCUUCUACGAUCCACAAACCAAGCGUCUACGGAUUUCACGUGACGUCGUGUUUGAAGAAAACCAAGCGUGGAAUUGGAGCGCCGCAGCCGACGAUGCUCCAAACGGUAACAUAUUCACGGUUGAAUUUCCAACUGAUGAUGAUGUAGGGGAGGAUGCCCAGGUGGUUGGCAAGACGCCCAACCAAGGUGACCACAAUGGUAGUGAUCAUCAUGGUGCCGACACCGACGACAACGCGCAUAGGUCGCAAGGAAAUAGCGACAACGACGCGCACGGCACGGGCAGAGAUCUUGACGACAACAUCGACAACGAGGCGCAUAGUGACGACAACAAUCAACAUGAUGGUCACGGUCACGGUCACGACGACUACGCCGACGACACGGAUGUCGAUGACACGCCCGGGUCUCAGCCAUCUUCCUCAAGUGCAUCAACACCGACACAAUUUGUGUCGCCUCUUUCGCAAGCCACAACGGAUUCCUCAGGGCCUCGUCGCUACAAGAUGCUGAAGAAAGUCUACAAGUACACCAAGCUAGUUACGCUCGAGUACUCCGGACUAUGUCUGUUCGGAGUUGAGGAGCCGGCGAACUUCGUAGAGGCGAGCAAAAGUCGUAGUUGGACGCACGCCAUGGAUGAAGAGAUGAAGGCGAUUGAGAGCAAUGGCACGUGGACUUUGGUAACCCGACCUCCAAACCAAAAGGCGAUAGGUUUGAAGUGGGUUUACAAGUUAAAGAAGGACACGGAGGGUGCCAUUGUGAAGUACAAGGCAAGACUCGUUGCAAAGGGCUACGUACAAUGUCAAGGAGUAGACUAUGAUGAGGUGUUUGCACCAGUUGCUCGAAGCGAGACGGUGAGAGUGCUCCUAGCUUUGGCAGCACAAGAGGAUUGGAAGGUUCAUCAUAUGGAUGUUAAAUCCGCUUUCCUCAAUGGCGAUCUCACAGAAGAAGUGUACGUGGAACAACCCCUCGGCUACGAGAAAAAAGGCGAAGAAGGGAAAGUUUACAAGCUCAAGAAGGCACUUCAUGGGUUGAAGCAAGCGCCAAGAGCUUGGAACUCAAAGUUAGACCGAAGUUUGGUCUCGCUCGGGUUCAAGAGAUGUCCACUCGAGCACGCAGUCUAUACAAAGAACUCCAAAGGCUCAAACCUGCUAGUUGGAGUUUAUGUCAACGAUCUGAUUAUCACCGGAGAUAACGUACAAGAAAUUGAACGUUUCAAGACGCAAAUGAAGAACAAGUUUAGCAUGAGUGAUCUGGGAUUACUCAGCUAUUACUUGGGCAUCGAAGUGAAGCAAAGCUCCGGAGAGAUUUCCCUAUGUCAAUCGGCCUACGCGGUCAAGUUAUUGGACAAGUGUGGCAUGUCAGAUUGCUACGAGACACAAGUUCCAAUGGACCAACGUCACAAGUUGAGCAAACGUAGCUCAAAUCCGCCGGUGGACACCAUAAUGUAUCAAAGCGUUGUGGGCAGCCUAAGAUACUUGGUGCAUACCCGACCUGACUUGGCUUAUUCAGUCGGGAUCGUGAGUCGUUUCAUGGAGAAUCCGACAACCGAACACAUGAGCGCGGUCAAUCAAAUCCUACGCUAUGUGAAAGGCAUAAUUAAUCUUGGCUGCACGUACAGAAAGGGAAAGGAAGGAUUGGUCCUUCGUGGAUAUUCGGAUAGCGACAUGGCAGGUGAUGUUGAUGACCGAAAGAGCACAACGGGCAUGGUUUUCUACCUUGGCCGGAAUUCGAUUAGCUGGAAUUCUCAGAAGCAAAAGGUGGUGGCACUGUCUUCAUGCGAGGCAGAAUACAUAGCGGCAAGCACGGCGGCUUGUCAAGCAGUGUGGCUGAGAAGACUCCUAGCUAUUCUUGCGAAGCGAGAUGUGCAGAAGGUGUCAUUGAAGAUCGACAACCAAGCUGCAAUCUCAUUGUGCAAAAAUCCGGUUCAUCACGAAAGGAGCAAGCACAUAGAUACCCGAUUCCAUCACAUCCGGGAGUGCAUUGAGGAGGGGUUGAUCGAAGUUCAGCAUGUGAACACGAAAGACCAGCUUGCCGAUAUUCUCACGAAGUCUCUCGGACGAUAGAAGUUCUUGAAGAUGCGAGAAAAGAUCGGCGUCCAAACUGUAAAGUAAGGACAUUGUGUUUAGGGGGUGAAUGUAGGGAUUAAACCCAACGUCCGGGUCGUACUGGUAUACGUUUCCGAGUAGGUUUGCUGGUAGGCUCUUCUAUACCUAUAUAUAUACUUGUAUCCCUACCCCUUGUAACAUCAGCUCGAAAAGCAAGAAAUAUACCACAGGACCGAUACGGUCCUGUAGCCAUCAAGUCGCCUACUGUUAUUCUCAUGCAAUAGCUAGAUAGAUAGAUUCCAGCGAAUACAUCCACCUGCUAGCUUGCUUGCUAGUUGAUACGUACCUGAGUUGGCCAAAAGCAUCCGCUACUCAAAACGCAUCAAGAACAAGGUGUAUACGUGCCUGAUCACGACGGAAAGCAUUGAUCGGCGAGCGACGUACGACGUACUAGCAGGGAUCUGGGCCAACAUGCUAUUAUUUAAGCAAAGAGCAACUUUCCGUAAGAAAAUUAAGUGAAUUAGUUUCUAAAUGCCGUUGACAAAUGAAAAUACACCAAUCAGUGAUCACUGCAGAUUCUAACAUAUCUAUGGAUUUGCUGUUUGAGUCAUUACCUUUUUCCAUUUCUCAUUGAGUCAUUUCAGCCAGAUACUAAACCUUUUUACAGAGGAAGGAAACAGAUGCUUCCUACCUAGUUGGGCACUACAUGUUGCUUACAGGGAAACCUACCUUGAACUGUUAUGCACAGCCUGUUAUAAAGCAGUGGUUGCCUGGCUAUUUAUUGCGACUAGUUUCACAUAGCGAUAUGAUAACAGGGAGAUGGCAACCAUUAUAAAGAACAUUGUAAAUAAGAAUGGUAACUAGUUCGAAGAACAACUGUAAAGUGUAAAGCAUUGAACUAGUCUGAAUAACACCAUAAAAGAACACACCAUUAGACCAAUUUGGGUAAGCAGUGCCAAGCUGCAUGUGCUUUGCACAGAACACGAAACAGUCCUUUAACAAAUCACGAGCCCUGAAAUAUAUAACAAGAACCUCUCACAAGCAGGAACGUACAACAAGAUAAGGUACACUCAUAAAAAAAGGAACACGCGAGCUACCAAAAUUCCAGUAUAAAAACCAUGGCUGCCGCUGUAAAGUGGUGAGAAUAUCCCUGCCCGACUAGGUUUCUGCUAGAAAGAGCGCCAUGCAAAACGUCAACAUUCACAACUUGAUGGCACAUGCCGUCAACACAACUUGAGUUAAUUUAUUUGUAGCCAAGUAUUGCCUGCGCCUGGGACAAGAGCUAAGCAACCAACACUGUGAUGUUAAAGAACUCAGGAAAUCUGAGAAGGGCUCAUUGUUUAUUGCAUGACAGAGACAGUCACUAAGAUGGAUUGCGAUGAUGCUUAACUUUUCUGAAGCUACAGCAAAAUGGCAGUUUUUUAUCUAACCCCCCCCCCCCCUCCCCCCGGGCAUAGUGUAUUGUACAUAUGUAGGUCGUAAUUAAUUACUGACUCACAGGGCAGGCACUUUAUUAGCUUGUUGAUUAUUCCUUUACAAGAAGAAGAUGUCGGGAUGGCUCUGAUUAUGUUGUCCAACAAAGAACAAAGGAAUAAUCAUAGUAGCCUCACUGGCUAUCUUCUUCCCUGUGACUCUGUCUUCAAUAAUUUAAUAAUGCAUCUGCUUCUAUUUUAUUAUUACAUUACAAAAAGUAACAAUCAAUUACCUCCUGAGAGGAAUGAAAAGUGUGGUAGGCUUGUUGGUGAACCAUCACAUCACAUAAAGAUAAAUGAAAGUUAAAAAAGUGAUAAACAACAUUGUGCAGCAUAUGAAAGAAAUAGGAACAACGCAGUAAAGUUAAAGUAAUAUGAUCUUGUCCACGUAAUAGGAGAUAUGCAUCACCUUUACAGCCCUCACAAGUUCCACGAGGGUCGAAGAGGAUCUGUUUCGAAUGGGAAUUGCCUGUAUGAACCGAGGGGUUCUAUCCUCAAUUCCUACAAUAAUUGCAAGAAAUACCUAAGUAAGGAGCUGGAGCCUGGAGUUUACAUUUGUGAGAUUUCCAUAAAUGAGAUGAGACGAGACGAGACGACUGUGCUACGGCAUUACAUGGAGAUGAGACGACUGCCGCCGUGCUGGAGACCCUGGGAUGCCAGACGGCGGACCUGCCCAUCACAUACCUGGGCAUCCCCCUCUCCACACGCCGCCCCUCCGCGGCCCAGAUGCAACCACUUGUCGACACGGUGGCAGGCCGCCUACCGACGUGGAAGGCGUGGCUCAUGAACAAGGCCGGGCGACUGGCGCUCGUCAAAUCUGUGCUAAGCGCCAUUCCCACACACCAAAUGCUCGCCCUCGCCCCCCCCCCUCCCGAAGAAAACCCUGAAGCAGCUCGAGAAGAUUCAGCGUGGGUUCCUCUGGGCCGGGCGCCAGGCCGCCCACGGAGGGCACUGCCACGUGAACUGGCGCCGGGUAUGCCGGCCGAUCGAGUAUGGUGGCCUGGGAGUCCGAGACCUUGAGCGCACGGGGCUCGCUCUUCGGCUCAGAUGGUUAUGGCUCUCGCGGACGGACACUAGUCGUGCCUGGCAUGGCCUGGACAUGCAGUUUACCCCCGAGGAGCACAGCCUUUUCCACGCCUCCACCACCAUGCAGCUCGGGGAUGGAACGACAGCACUCUUUUGGAAGGACCGAUGGCUCCUCGGCCUAUCCAUCCGUGAGCACGCGCCCGCGUUGUACAUGUGCAUCCCCAAAAAUCGCAGGAAAUCUCGGACGGUGGCGGAGGGCAUUCACGGCAACGCAUGGGCGCGGGAUAUCCACGGCAUCCUUGGCCUCCAGGAGAUUGGGCAGUAUCUCCAACUCUGGCUGUUGGUGUCUCGCACCACCCUUUCCCCAGAGUCGGACAAGCUAACUUGGAAAUGGACGGCCAACGGCAACUACACAGUCAGGUCCUGCUACCAAGCCACCUUCCACGGAUCCAUCGCUUGCCGCUCAUGGAAGUUGAUUUGGAAGAGUUGGGCCCCGUCGAAGGUCAGAUUCUUUCAUUGGCUCGCCAAUCAGGACCGCUGCUGGACUGCUGAGCGCCUUGCCCGCCAUGGCCUCACACACCACCCUCGGUGCCUCUUAUGCGAUCAAGAGCCGGAAACUAUGCAACACAUGUUGCUCACAUGCCCUUUCGCGAAGCAGACCUGCCACGGAAUCAUGUCCUGGCUGCGUCUCCCGGCUCCGGUGCCUGACCAGGACGCCACGCUCCAGGACUGGUGGCUGCGGGCUCGCGACGCUACGCCACCCCUGCUCCGCAAAGCGCUGGCCUCCGUCGCACUCCUUGUUCCUUGGAUGAUCUGGAAGCAUAGAAAUGCGUGUGUAUUUGACCAUGUAACCCCAUCAUUAGUCGAGCUAGACGCUGCGAUCAAGGACGAGUCCAAGAAUUGGGCUAAGGCAGGGGCCAAAGGGCUUAGGGUCACCCUGCCGUCCUCCUGGGACGUCCAUUGAUCCACUUGUAACAUCGUUGUACUGGCCUCUUAGGAGGAUGUUCUCCCCCCUCUUUUCAAUGCAAUGAAACGCAAAGGCUUUUUGCGUUUUCUCGAAAAAAAGAUUUCCAUAAAUAGUAUAAAAGAUGAGUUCAAAAAUUCCUAAAAAGUUCAAAACUGCAGUACAUAGAAAACUAUGUAUACAUACAAAUUUCAGUAUCGAUAGUCCCUGAAAUCAAUAACCAGAGAAGCUAUUAAAGUGGAAAAAAUAUUUUGUUCAAGUUUGAUAAGUAUUGAAAACUUUAAAUAUCCAAAACUAAGUGCCUUUUUUUUGUUACUGGUUCAAAUAUUGAGGUUUUAUAUUUCUCUGUUUUUUGCCGGUUAAUUAUGCCUUGAGUUUGCAAAAGUGAAUUACAUUCCGUAAAUUUAUGUUGAUACAUAUUUUUUCUUGGAUUGUAUAUCUAACAUAUAUUACAAAUGAAAAUAAUUGCAAACAGUGAUAUUAAUUUGAUGUGGUCGAUUGAUAACUAAUUGAGGGCUUCCAAAUCAUGGGAUCAAUUGGUAAGCAUUGGAGAAAUGUGCCCCGUUUGGUUUAUGCAAUUUGAUGGUUAGGAUCCUCCAGAUUCACCCCAACUCGUCAUUUUUAUAAUAGUAGAGAUGACUCGCCUUUCAGCAUGUGUUCAACAGAAAAAAUACCGCCGGUACUAGGCCACUGGUUGAAUUUUUUCCUGUUGAGUUCGUGGCUGCUCGGAUAGAUGAACAUAACAGUCAGUUGGCUCUCCCUAUUCUACCAUUGGUCAAAGUUUUUGUGCCAAUCAAUUUACGUAUGGAAAGAAGAUGAACCCUUAUGUAUUUCCUCAGUCAAUGCUGACAAUUUACUCUUUGUAACACACGUUGUACAAUUGCUGACAUGCUAGAAUAGGCGUACAAUCAUGUAAAGAAAGAUAUGCCUAGGAUCUACCAUCCGCUCUUUCGGCACAAGAUGUGAAACCUUUUUCAUGAUCAAAGAUAAAAAGAUGGGCCCUACCUGUAAAAAGAGAAAAGGGGGAAACAAUGGCCCCUUAACUCAAUAAAGGUGUUCCCCCAAUAUUUAUCAAUUGCGGAUUCUCAGGUUCAGUUUAAAAAAAAUCCUGAUUCUGAAUGUGCUUUCAACAAUUUCAUUGAGGAAAAAAAGACAUGAGAAAUCAUAAUACAAUUUUAGCAUGUAAACCUGCAAAUACGGAUCCAUAUCCUGGUGCACCAUACAGAUACAUGAGAAGAUGUAUAAUGUAUUGUGGUCGCCAUAUUGAUUGUAUAAGAAUUCAGUACGGUAGUUUGGCUCAAAUGAAAAUUCUUCUAAGUCAAAUGGCGAACAUCGUGCUUAUACAUUGAAACUUGAAUCUGGCCAACUAAGCUAAAUAGCUAAAACAGUCUGAAAGAAGGGCACAGUUCAGUUCAUUGCACUACAAACAUAGCGCGGUUCAAUCAUCAGUAGAUCAAGACCGGAUCAAAGUUUGCCUAACUAGCUUCAGUGUAGCAUCACUGUAAUGAUUGAAUAAGCAGCAACCUAAUUUAGAUUGUGAUGCCCUUGUUGACUUGACGAUAGCUGAGUCAUACAAGAAAUCAGGAUACGAGAGAUUACUAAACAAAUAAGAUGGCACUAUAGUAGCAACCAAAUCUGACUGGACAAAUGGUAUGGCUUCAGUACAAGCACUGUUAUAACCAUAAACCUGAGGUCAUUAUGCAGGUGGGUUGGAGCCCAGCAGCUGACGCUCUCAGUCGCACCUUACAGUCCUGAUCCUGUAACUGCGGUGCCUAACAGCCAAGUUAACUACUUGACUUGCUUUAUAAAACCUCCAAAACCUGAUUCUCAGGCUCCCAUAUUUGGUCAGGGUGCGUAACUGGUGCCUACUGUGUCCUGGAACCAGUGUUUGGUUGGGAUGAAAACUGAAAAUCGAAAUGCCAGACAUGUAACUCCUCCACCCCCCAAAUUAUUUCACGCCACCACGUUAUCAUAAGCGUGUCAGGCCCUAGCCCGACCCCACGGCCACUCCCCCAAAUUGCAAUCCCAUCUCCUGAAAUCUGAAGCCCAAAUGGACAGCCGGCGACCGCCAUUACCACCUAGGCGACGUGAUCUGCGGCUUAAGCUACGAUUAAGGGGACUACAUGAACCGACAUUGCUUCCAACCAAACAUCCAUCGAAAUCAAACAGAGCAUCGCUCUCCGCGCGUUCACGGAAACAGAAAUUUCGAUAAAUCGCUAGGAAUCGUGCGACCCAGGAGGAGGAGGAAGGUAAAAUUAUCGGUACCUCUGACGCGUAGGAGGGGAAUUAGGGCGGAACGACCCCGCGGGUUGGUCUGAUCGGACGGGAUCGAGGAACCCUAGAGUUUGGGUUGGGGCUGGCCCGCCGCCGCCGCCGCCUCGUCGCGUCGCUUCGAUCCCCACGCUUGCUCGAGACGGAGGGGAAAAUUUGGCGGCAGGACGAGGACGCAGGCGAGGCUGGU